rnacentral:rRNA from 1 species
AGCGAACGCUGGCGGCAGGCUUAACACAUGCAAGUCGAACGCCAUCUUCGGAUGGAGUGGCAGACGGGUGAGUAACGCGUGGGAACGUACCCUUUGGUUCGGAAUAUUCUCGGGAAACUGAGAGCAAUACCGGAUAAGCCCUACGGGGGAAAGAUUUAUCGCCAAAGGAGCGGCCCGCGUCAGAUUAGGUAGUUGGUGGGGUAAAGGCCUACCAAGCCUACGAUCUGUAGCUGGUCUGAGAGGAUGAUCAGCCACACUGGGACUGAGACACGGCCCAGACUCCUACGGGAGGCAGCAGUGGGGAAUAUUGGACAAUGGGCGCAAGCCUGAUCCAGCCAUGCCGCGUGGAUGAUGAAGGCCUUAGGGUUGUAAAAUCCUUUCAACGGGGACGAUAAUGACGGUACCCGUAGAAGAAGCCCCGGCUAACUUCGUGCCAGCAGCCGCAGUAAAAC